rnacentral:lncRNA from 13 species
GCUUUCUGGAAGUGGUUUAGCUGGAUGGAUCAUAAGUGAGAGCCAGGGGAACCUUUUGUUUGGAGGCAAAAGUUGUGUGAUCAGGACCCAGUGGUCUUGGAUUUUCCAGGUCAAAAAACCGUCAAAAAAUGUCAUCGGGGAAUGGGUCUGAGGAGGAAAGCAGCAGAAUGUUCAAUUUGAGCCACAGUGGUAUACUACUCAGGGCAAAAAAACGCAUCAUUGUGAUAACCCCUGAGCCCUGCAGCCACUUUGUGAAACACAGAAAUGUUCUCAUUUAUGAAUGUGGUACUCGGGCUCCAGCAAGUCUCGCCUCCACAUGAAGUUUCAGAUCAGGAGUACCAAGUUGAUUUCCAAUGCCUGAUGGGUCAUUUGCACUCACAAAGAUGUGUCGAACAAAUGCUUCUGCUGCAAUGUGAUUUCAACUUCCAUCAGUUCUGCUGGAGCCAAUUCUUCAAAUAAGCCUUCCCCAACCACCUAUGUCCAUCAUCUCUCACUCUCUAUCCAUCGAUGUUUUUAAACUGUACUUCCUAGCAUGCCAUAACAUGGCCAUAUAAUAUACAUAUCUAUUUAUCUAUUGUUUCUCCCACUGAAAUUUUAUUCAAUAAGGUCAGGCACUUAGUUUUCUUCACUGCUGUCUUAUAAUCUGAGGACAAAAUAUCAGACGAUACAGAGAAGCCGGAGUUUGGAUCACUCACUAAGUAACAUUGGCUCAGCUCCAAAGCCACAAGAGGAAAUAUUAAAGGAACACAUUCCAUCUCACAAGGAUCAAUUUCAAAAUAUCUGGGAUUUAAGCUUACAAAAAGGGAAGCAUCAUAUGCAGCUAUUGGACCCCAUCCGUGCAGCUCCACAGAUCUGCUCAGGCCUGGCUGUUGCAAGAGCCAUGGAAACUUGCCCUGCCUCAUGGUCCAUUUGGAACCAGCAAAUCGACCACGUUUCAUGUUUCUCCUAUGAUGAUAAAGCCCCCACCAUGAUGCCCCCAUCAUAACUUUUACUGCCACUGCUUUUUACAGUCUUAACUAGGGGCAAGCACCUUCAGCAGUGGGCAAUGCAGGAGCUCUAGCAUGUCGGUCGUACCCAACUGGAGUUGUCUACACAGACAGCCUGAUGUUGAGCCAUUAAAGACGAGGAUAUUUGAAUGGGUUUAUUGAUCAUUU